ensembl:lncRNA
GGUGAUGAUGAGGGUCACCUGACUCUGGAGGUGAGCUGCUCACAUCGCUCCUGCAGCAGUGUGUGUGUGUGUGAGGGUCACCUGACUCUGGAGGUGAGCUGCUCACAUCGCUCCUGCAGCAGUGUGUGUGUGUGUGUGUGUGUGUGUGUGUGUGUGUUGGGUGAUGAUGAGGGUCACCUGACUCUGGAGGUGAGCUGCUCACAUCGCUCCUGCAGCAGUGUGACUCUAUCCUCCAGCUGCUGUCUCUCCUCCAUCAUCCUGCAGCUCUCCUCUCUCUGUCGCUCUCGCUCCUGUCUCUCUCUCCGCAGAUCCUCACACAGCUCGUCACGCUCCUUCAGCAGCAGAGGGAGAGACUGCACACACACACACACCAGAUACACAUCAGAAACACACACACACACACACACACGCAUCAGAUACACGUCAGAAACACACACACACACACACGAUACACAUCCGAACACACACACACACACACACCUGUAGUCCUCUCUGAAGGUCCUCCUCUUCCUCACACAGCUGCUGUCUCCUCUUCCUCAGAUCUGAUGCCUGAUGAUCAAUAAUCAACACUGUUAGUAUUGAGAUAGAACUAUUAGUCUGAAGUAAAUGAGAAACUCAAAUAAACCCAUCAGCUCAAGUAAAAAAAACUAAACACACACAUCCUUGAAUGUGAUGAAAACCAUAAUAAAAUAAAUCUGAAAUAAUAACCAAACUGUAUGGCAUAUAAUCAUUAGAAUGAAGAAUUCAAAUAAAAGCACAGUUCUGUACCUUUGACUGAAGUUCAGUCUCCUGAGUGUGAAGCUCUUUGGUUUGUUUCUCCAGCUUCUCCUUCCACUCCUGUAGCUCUGACUCCUACACACACACACACACACACACACAUUACAGCAACAAGCAAUCUGUCUGUCCACACCAGAUCACAGCCAAUCAGAGGAGUGUGUGGGCGGAGUCUGUCUGUAAACACUGUCUGGAUGAGUAUAUGAUCAAAUCAAUAAAAAUUAAGCCAUUCUACGAUUAGUAAAAAUCCAUUUUCUGAUACAGUGUUUGUUAUGGGUGCAUGUUCACUUUAUUCUUCAUAUCAGAGGUAAAUGAUCAUGAACACACUCACUGACAGUGUGUGUGUGUGUGUGUGUGUGUGCUGUGCUGACCUUCUGCGAGUGUGUCCUGCGCGUCUCCUGCAGCUGUGUGUCCAGUGUGUGCUGUAGUUUGUGUAGUUGUGUUGUGUGUGUGGAGAUCACAGCGUCUCUCUCCUUCUGAAGAGAAUCCAGCAGACGAUCCCGCUCCCUGCUCUCCUGCACACACACACAGAUCUCAACAUCUCUAUGUAAAUCAGACUAACAGAUAGCUUGCCACUGUAUGUGUGUGUGUUGUACCUGCUCCAGGUGUGUCUCUCUCAGGUUCUGUAGCUCCUGUUGAUGUUCCUCCUUCAGCUGUUCUAGUUUCCUCCUGUGAUCUCUUUCGACUUCCUCCCGGACUUCCUGCAGCACAUCUGUGAGCUAAACACACAUGAACACACACUCGUCAGGGCUGCACAAUAUCAGAAAUAUAAUCCCAAUAGGGCUUAGUGCAGUUAUCACAUGACAAAGGCUGUGAUGAAGGAAUA